AUGGACCGGUUCUACGACGAGCAGUACGUGCGGCUGCGGAACCGCGAGCUCGACAAGUACUACCUCCACGCCGACGACGACGGGGUGGGCGUCUCCAUCAGCCAGCGCCGCAACUCACUGAACGUGGCCUGGAGGGUGCACAUCUACCACGCCGCCAACGGCCCGUACCUGCUCCUCCACAGCGCCGCCUACGGCCGCUACCUUGCCGCCACGGCCACGCCGGCGCCGGCCUUGUACCACGGCUUCCGCGCCGAGCUACGCGACUACGACCAGCCGGAGGUGCCGGAGAUCAUGUGGCUGGACAUCAGGGCGGGGCUGGGGCGUGGUGUCCUGCUUCAAAACGCCCGCGACCGCUACCUCCGCGCCAACGGCAAGUACCUACGCUGGAACACCGGCGUCACCGUCGAGAACAGAGACAUUGUGAAUGAGAAGGUCAGCGCCAUGAUGCGCUGGAUUGUCGAGCCCAUCGCCCUCACAGAGCGCGCGCCUCGCAUUUCAGACCCGAUUCGGGCCCGCCUCCCUGAAGACCUCUCCGUCGUCGUGUUCGGGCGCCAGCCAGGGGCGUGGCGGGGGAUUCGGUUCGUGCAAGCGAGCAACGAGGGGCUCUACAACGAGGCCGGGCAAGGCUGGGCCACAGACCAUAUCAGGGGGAGGUCCUUGUACUACCUGAGGGACAAGCUGGCUAGACGGGUCAACCAGCAGCCCGACGGCAUCGCCAUGUGCAUCCGAGCGGGCCGCUACGGGAGGCUGACCCCACUCGUCGUCGACCUGCCCCGCAGUGGCUGGGGCGACAUCUACCAGAUUGUCGUCAUCAUCUCCGGGACCCCUGCCUAUGCUGCGCCGGCCUUGUACCACGGUUUCCGCGCCGUGCAGCGCGACUACGACCACCCGGUGGUGCCGGAGAUCAUGUGGCUGGACAUCAGGGCCGGGCUGGGGCGUGGCGUCCUGCUCCAGAACGGCGGCGACCGCUACCUCCGCGCCAACGGCAAGUACCUCCGCUGGAACUCCGGCGUCACCGUCGAGAGCAGAGAUAUUGAGAACGAGAAGGUCAGCUCCAUGAUGCGCUGGAUCGUUGAGCCCAUCGACCUCGCAGAGCGCGCGCCUCGCAUUCCAGACCCGAUUCGGGCCCGCCUCUCGGUCAUCGUGUUCGGUCGCCAGCCGGGGCCAUGGCGGGGGAUUCGGUUCCCCCAGGCCGACAGCAUCGCCAUGCGCGUCUGA
rnacentral:rRNA from 1 species